AACCACCUCGUCAAACCUAGCACCUGAUGCAAUCUCAUGAGUCAUGAUAAAGAGCAGUCCAUAGUUGAGGCCAUCAAUGAACCUCCUAAUCCUCUCCCUCUUUAUAGGAACCAACCAGACUGUGUGACGAGCAAACUCCACGCGACGCCGUGAGAAGUCCAUUGAACCUUAUCAUUUAUAGGAAGGAGAAGUCAUAACAAGGUUUCAGUAGGUGAACCUACAGAAGGAUCAUUGUCGAAACCUGUAAAGCAGAAUGACCCGCGAACUUGUUUAAACACUGGGGAGCGGUGCGACUAGGUUGCUUCGGACACUGGCCUGUGGGCUCGCCAUUUGACCCGUCUUGAAACAUGGACCAAGGAGUCUGACAUGUGUGUGAUUCAACGGGUGAGUAAACCUGUAAGGCGUAAGGAAGAUGAUAAGUGGGAUCCCCCUAAGGGGUGCACCGCUGACCGACCUUGAUCUUCUGUGAAGGGUUAGAGUGCGAUCAUACCUGUCGGGACCCGAAUGAUGGUGAACUAUACCUGAGCGGGGUGAAGCCAGAGAAAACUAUGUUGGAGGCCCGCAUCCAUACUGACGUGCAAAUCGUUUGUCUGACUUGGAUAUAGGGGCAAAAGACUAAUCAAACCAUCUAGUAGCUGGUUUACCCGAAGUUUGCCUCAGGAUAGCUAGAGCUCGUGUGCGAUUUCAUUGGGUAAAGCCAAUGAUUAGAAGCAUCGGGGGCACAAUGCCCUCGACCUAUUCUCAAACUUUAAGUAGGUAGGAUGGUGUGACUGUUUUUUUGAGCCACACCACAGAAUCAAGAGCUCCAAGUGUGCCAUUUUUGGUAAGCAAAACUAGCGAUGCAGGAUGAAUCGAAAGCCGGGUUACGAUGCCAAUCUGCACGCUAACCUAAAUCCCAUAAAGGGUGUUGGUCAACUAAGAUAGCAGGACAGUGGUCAUGGAAGUCGAAAUCCACUAAGGAGUGUGUAACAACUCAUCUGCCUAAUCAACUAGCCCCGAAAAUGGAUGGUGCUUAAGCGCAUGACCUACACCCGGCCGUCGGGGAAAGCACCAGGACCCGUCGAGUUGGAGGGAGCGGUGAUCGCUACAAAACCUUGGGCGUGAGCCUUGGCGGAGCGCCCAUCAGUGUAGAUCUUGGUGGUAGUAGCAAAUAAUCAAAUGAGAAAUUUGAAGGCCGAAGAGGGGAAAGGUUCCACGUGAACAACACUUGCACAUGGGUUAGUCGAUCCUAAGGGUCGGGGGAACCCCGAUAAAUAGCGUGUUUCACGCAUAAUCGGAAAGGGAAUCAGGUUAAAAUUCCUGAACCUGGACAUGGCAGUUGACGACAAUGUUAGGAGGUCCGAAGAUGUCAGCGGGGGCCUCGGGAAGAGUUAUCUUUUCUGUUUAACAGCUUGUCUACCGUGGAAAUGACUCAGUCGAAGGUAGGGUCCAGUGGAUGGAAGAGCACCGCACGUCGCAUGGUGUCCGGUGCUCCCCCGAUAGCCCUUGAAAUUACGGAGGACUGAUGUCGUCCAUGCUCGGUCAUACUCAUAACUGCAUCAGGUCUCCAAGGUGAACAACCUCUGGUUGAUGAAACAAUGUAGGCAAGGGAAGUCGGCAAUAUGUAUCUGUAACUUCGGGAAAAGGAUUAGCUCUAAGGGUUAGGCACGGGGGUCCCACUCCCGAACCCAUCGGCUGUCGGUGGACUGCUCGAGCUGCUCCCGUGGUGAUAGCGGUUUGUCACGAGCCGACCGGGGGACGGACUGGGAACGGUUCCUUCGGGUGACUUCUCCGGGCGUCGAUCAGCCAACUCAAAACUGGUACGGACAAGGGGAAUCUGACUGUUUAAUUAAAACAAAGCAUUGCGAUGGUCCUGCGGAUGUUUACGCAAUGUGAUUUCUCCCUAGUGCUCUAAAUGCCAAAGUGAAUAAAUUCAACUAAGUGCGGGUAAACGGCGGCAGUGACUAUGACUCUCUUAAUGUAGCCACAUGCCUCGUCAUCUAAUUAGUGAUGCGCAUGAAUGGAUUAACGAGAUUCCCACUGCACCUGUCUACUAUCUAGUGAAACCACAACCAAGGGAACAGGCUUGGCGGAAUCAGCGGGGAAAGAAGACCCUGUUGAGCUUAACUCUAGACUGACUUUGUGAAAUGACUUGAGAGGUGUAGUAUAAGUGAGAGCCAAAAGGCAAAAGUGAAAUACCACACCACUACUACUUUUAAUGUUAUUUUACUUAUUCUAUGAAUCAGAAGCGGGGCUUUGCUCUUCUUUUUGGACCCAAGGCUUGCUUGUAGGCCAAUCCGGGUGGAACACAUUGUCAGGUGGGGAGUUUGGCUGGGGCGGCAUACCUGUUAAAAGAUAACACAGGUGUCCUAAGAUAAGCUCAACGAGAAUUGAAAUCUCGUGUGGAAUAGAAGAAUAAAAGCUCAUUUGAUUCUGAUUUCCAGUACGAUCCUGAACCUUGAAGCAUGGCCUAACGAUCCUUUAGACCUUCGGAAUUCGAAGCUAGAGGCGUAAGAAAAGUUACCACAUGGAUAACUGGCUUGUGGCAGCCAAGCAUUCAUAGCGACGUUGCUUUUUGAUCCUUCGAUGUCACCUCUUCCUAUCAUUGUGAAGCAGAAUUCACCAAGUGUUGGAUUGUUCACCCACCAAUAUAGAACGUGAGAUGGGUUUAGACAGUCGUGAGCUAGGUUAGUUUUACCCUACUGAUGACAGUGUCACUGUAACACCCCAGAAAAUUUCAAAGUACUUGAGUGUAAAGCCCGAUAAAUUUGUUUCAUGGUGCCGGAAAGUAAAGGAGAAUUUUUGGGGGAAAAGCACGUCUAUGCAGUCCAUUAUGAGACCGUAUAAUCACUCUGCGGGCAGCAUAAUGGCCGCAUAAGUGAGCAGGAGAGGUCCGUUAUGGAAGCAGCUAUGCGGUCAACUAUGGGACCGCAUACACAAACAGAUUUUUGGAUCAUUU
rnacentral:rRNA from 1 species